rnacentral:rRNA from 1 species
GAUGAACGCUGGCGGCGUGCCUAAUACAUGCAAGUCGAGCGAACGGACGAGAAGCUUGCUUCUCUGAUGUUAGCGGCGGACGGGUGAGUAACACGUGGAUAACCUACCUAUAAGACUGGGAUAACUUCGGGAAACCGGAGCUAAUACCGGAUAAUAUUUUGAACCGCAUGGUUCAAAAGUGAAAGACGGUCUUGCUGUCACUUAUAGAUGGAUCCGCGCUGCAUUAGCUAGUUGGUAAGGUAACGGCUUACCAAGGCAACGAUGCAUAGCCGACCUGAGAGGGUGAUCGGCCACACUGGAACUGAGACACGGUCCAGACUCCUACGGGAGGCAGCAGUAGGGAAUCUUCCGCAAUGGGCGAAAGCCUGACGGAGCAACGCCGCGUGAGUGAUGAAGGUCUUCGGAUCGUAAAACUCUGUUAUUAGGGAAGAACAUAUGUGUAAGUAACUGUGCACAUCUUGACAGUACCUAAUCAGAAAGCCACGGCUAACUACGUG